rnacentral:lncRNA from 1 species
AAUCAAAUUUGAGCAGGAGGUAAGCAAUUGAGGCAUUCCAUCGAACAUGUUGAGAGCAUAUGUCAACUCAAAAAGGUGUGAGCAUGCUACCAGUGUGGCCGGCAUAUCAUAAAUCACAAACUACAGACAUGAAGUAAUUGUAGAUAAACAUCGAAGACUGACAAGUGCACAACACAAGGGAAUGUUAUUAUUGACAUACAUGUGAAUAUCAUGCAGAGGCUACUUGCAAUUUGUACAGCAAAAGGUUGACCUCAUAGCCUUUAUCCUAUUUUCUUCAGAAGUGCUCCCCCAGAUGUUGCAGAUCCUAUCAGAAAUGCUGGCAUAACCUUUUUCACAAACACCUGACAAAUAGGUUAACGCAGAGAUGAAGACAGAUCACAGGCAAUUUAUACAACAAAAGAUUGACAUGAGUCUUCGUUCUAUUUUUCUACAACAGUGCUCGUGGAAAAGUGCUGCCAUAACUUGUCUUUUCAGGCUUAACUGAGGCACUUGUCAACGGAGGUGGAAUCUUAUUAUAAGAGGUUUGGUUUCAGGUUUAUGAUUUUUUUUAAAUAAAAGGGUUAUGUAAAAUGACAUCAAGAAUAUAGCAAAGACAUUACCUUACUGUUCCACCUUGUUUUGAGUAUGAGCACUCUCAGAUCUUACCAAAGGUGAAAUAAAGCUUAUGGCUGACAUCAUGUGAGUGAGAGCUAGUUUAGAAAUUUUAGGCGGGUUCAGUAGUGCAAAACUAACAUAGCAAGGGGCACCGUACUUCUCAACAGUCCCAAGGCAUAUCCUAGACGAGCAUAGUAUAUAAGGAAUUAAGGAUUAACCAUGAGCAGCCGAGCUUCCUGGGUAAUUAACCAUGAGCAGCCGAGCUUCCUGGAAACACCCUGUAGUGGCAUACAGAGAUUUAAAAGUGAUCAGAUGGCAUUUCGAUUUUUUGCAAGCUUUGGGAAUUACAGAUUCAUUGCUUAAUAAUUAGAUCUAAUACAGAAUGCAAUGAUUUACAUUACCUUGGUUGUACGAUUUCCAUGUUCUUAAUAUCUUGUGACAGUUGACAUUCAGAGAAUCAACACUGUAAAAUAAAAAUGAAAAAUGGUUUAAGUAGUCAUGAAGGAAGUAAAGCUAUGGACAUACUAUUAUGUAAAAUGUUUUACAGCAAUAAACUCAUUAUAUAUGCUCUCGAACUAUCUACCAAGUUUCAGAUCAGUAUUGUCCGGGUGCUUUAAUUUUAGGUUGCAACCUCAAAACCUACUAUCUUAUUGAUUCAUCUGUUCUAUGUCGUAGCAUUUAAAUUUCACAUAGCCAUUUCUUCAUGGAUACAUGCAGAAAGUUUGUUCUUGAUGCCUGUUUGAGCACACAUCUGUAGCCCAAAACAUUAGAAGAGCAGUAUUUGCAGUUCAGAAACUAAGAGAGCUAUUUGAUUUCUCUAAUAGUUGUUAUGAAAUUUUAAGCCCAUAUUCUACAUGAGAUUAAGACAACAUUAUUAUAUGGUUGCUUUGUAUCCGGCGAGACUAAGGAUAAGUAUAAUUAAUUAUGUUUAUUAACAGCAAGUCGCCGACUUGUACAGGCAUAUGCUUUUCCUAAUUAGAGAGACAUGCUUCCUUCAGCUGGGUCGCCAUGGAACCCAGUUGAAUGUUACCAUUUGACACGAAUUUGAGCAAUAAUUGUUUCAACAAACUGAGUACCACAAAAGAAGCACAAUUCCUUGAGAAAUAAUUAAUAAAAAUGGUAAUUUAUACAGCACAGAAGAAUAGUUCUAGUCAUUUCUCAGUGAGUAAUGCUAGUAAUCGCUGUUUUGGUUAUGUCCAGCUGCUGGUAGGAAAUUGGUGGAUAUUGAAUUCAAAUGAAUAUAUAUUGUGGAUAGACUAAUACCUGUGCGGGGGCAUAAUCAUGUACAAUAUUACAGGCUCUUGCUUCCGUUCUUGUUAUUAGGCAUUUCUACAAACAACUUGUGUGCAGUAGAGACAGCUCGUCAGAGGGAGCAGCGGCCAUAUGCACGGACAGAAGGGAGAGCUGCAGAGGCUGCUACGGCCGUCGGCGGUGAGAGCGCGUCUGUGGUUGAGACGCUGCGCGGCCGCGUUGCCGCUGGCCCCGCCCGCCCCGUGCUCCAGGCGCUGUGGCCGCCAAGCGGGCCCGCCGCCUCCGGUGGCGGGGUACAUUUUCGGUGCUCGACCGAGGGUGGAUCUGCCAUAGCCCCCUCCGCACGCUUCGUUCCUGCGCGCGCCUUCUCGCCAUGAGUGUGGCGCUGUAAGGGAAGGAAGGUGAGAGGCACUGGGAGCAGGAGGAGAGGAGCAGCUGCCUCACCAUCGAGGCGGAGCAGGAGGGGGAUGGCUGGUGGCCUCACUGCCCCGUGCGGCAGAGGGGAGUGUGACGCGCAGUGAACGAAGUUCGUGGCCGUCGUGGCAGGCUGACGGCGGCCGCGCUGCAGCCUGCAGGCGGAAGGGAGGCGCGGAAGCAGUGGUCGGCGCCUCGGGCGGGCGGCGGGGCAGGCGGAGAGGCGUGGGAAGGAGCAGGUUCGCGAGCGCCCGGUUCGCCG